AUGCAGUCACAUUCUCGAGUAUUGGCCCUUAGGACUUCAGUAUGUGAAUCUGGGGGAGAUACGAUACAGCACAUACAAACACAUAAAGUCAUACAUUUGACUAUCGGUACAUAUAACUGCCUUGUACACGUGGUUCUAUAUGAUCCUGUGACAUAUUUAAUCAGUCUUCUUUUGAUGAGCCUGUCCUUGUCUUUUGCUACUUGAAUAUCCUUGAAUAAGUAUCUGCUGGCACAUACAUGAAUAUACUUGUAGGUAAAUUUCUAGGAGUUGUUGUAUUAAAAGAGUUAUGUGUUUCUGUGAACCAGAUGUGGGUCCAUAUUAUGUCAGGAGGGAGUUGGUCUGGGCACUGAGCCACAGCCCUUCCUGACAGGACAAGGGCACCUCAGCGAAAGAGAUGGGAGCUGUAAGGACAGAGACAGAAGUUGGGGGUGAGCAGAGUGCAAGAGAUUGUGUGCUGUGAGGCACUACUCACAAUAACGGACCUGUACUGAUGUAUUCCCAGUGGAUUGUUUUGUAACUAGAAAUGACUAGACGAUUUUUAUUAUGUAGUUGUGACCAGUAAAGUCGUGGCAUCUGCCCUAAUUUUUAUCCAAGGAGUAGGAUCACCCACCAGAGGAGAUUUAAAGUGGGACUGAAAGGAUUUUAUACUGCUUGCAUUUUAUGCCUCCUUCUCAUUUAGUUUAACAGUUACUAAUAUGUGCAUAAGUAUUUGCUUAGAGAUGGGUCACAAAGAGUCGGACAUGACUGAGCAACUUUCACUCACUCACAUAGGAAAAAUAUUUGGAAUUGAUAUUACCAGAUUGUUAAAAGUAUAAGGGCAUUGGUACUUUAUAUGCAUACAUCUGUGCUGUUUAAAAUUUUACAAAGAGCAAGAAUUAUUUUUUGUAACUGAAUUAAAAAAAAAAAAUCCUGAAAGCGUGAAGUUCUCUGAAUUUAAUUAUGAUACAGUUUCUGAGCCAGAAGUUUUGUAGUUUGUAUGGACAAGAGCAAGGAAAUGGUCUAAAAAAUGCCAAACUGUUUACAGUAGGUAUUCCUGAAGAGUGCAAUUGUAGAGCUAAGUAACUUUUUCAUUUAACUUUAUAUAUUUCUAGACGCUUCAAAAAUGAUUUUUAAAAUAAUACUGUAUUGAAUAUUUGGAGACUGCUAAGAGAGUAGAGGGUAUUUGCUAUGACCAGUGCAUUUUCUUGGCAAGACUCUAUUAGUCUUUGCCC
rnacentral:lncRNA from 1 species